rnacentral:rRNA from 1 species
AGCAUAUCAAUAAGCGGAGGAAAAGAAACCAACAGGGAUUGCCUUAGUAACGGCGAGUGAAGCGGCAACAGCUCAAAUUUGAAAUCUGGCUCUUUUAGAGUCCGAGUUGUAAUUUGCAGAGGGCGCUUUGGCUUUGGCAGCGGUCCAAGUUCCUUGGAACAGGACGUCACAGAGGGUGAGAAUCCCGUACGUGGUCGCUAGACAUUGCCGUGUAAAGCCCCUUCGACGAGUCGAGUUGUUUGGGAAUGCAGCUCUAAAUGGGAGGUAAAUUUCUUCUAAAGCUAAAUACUGGCCAGAGACCGAUAGCGCACAAGUAGAGUGAUCGAAAGAUGAAAAGCACUUUGGAAAGAGAGUCAAACAGCACGUGAAAUUGUUGAAAGGGAAGCGCUUGCAGCCAGACUUGCCUGUAGUUGCUCAUCCGGGCUCUUACCCGGUGCACUCUUCUGCGGGCAGGCCAGCAUCAGUUUGGGCGGUUGGAUAAAGGUCUCUGGCACGUUCCUCUCUUCGGAGUGGCCAUAUAGGGGAGACGACAUACAACCAGCCUGGACUGAGGUCCGCGCAAUCUUGCUAGGAUGCUGGCGCAAUGGCUGUAAGCGGCCCGUCUUGAAACACGGACCAAGGAGUCUAACAUCUAUGCGAGUGUUUGGGUGUCAAGCCCGAGCGCGGAAUGAAAGUGAACGGAGGUGGGAACCUGUAAGGGUGCACCAUCGACCGAUCCUGAUGUCUUCGGAAGGAUUUGAGUAAGAGCAUGGCUGUUGGGACCCGAAAGAUGGUGAACUAUGCUUGAAUAGGGUGAAGCCAGAGGAAACUCUGGUGGAGGCUCGCAGCGGUUCUGACGUGCAAAUCGAUCGUCAAAUUUGGGCAUAGGGGCGAAAGACUAAUCGAACUAUCUAGUAGCUGGUUCCUGCCGAAGU